rfam:Cricetulus griseus cell line CHO-K1, whole genome shotgun sequence.
CCAAAGGCUCUUUUCAGAGCCAAUUCCACUUUCAGCGAAAAUAGCU